rnacentral:pre_miRNA from 1 species
GGGCUCUACUUGUUAGCUAACAUCAACAUCAAAGUUGUAUAACUCAUUAAUAUCUAUAACUUUUAUUUUGGUCAUCUCUUCAUCCGACAAAAUGAUUUUAAUAUUGUUCACAAAAUGUACAUAUCUCUUAUUUGGUUUUAUAACCUAUGAGACAGAUGUAAAUUUUGUGAACAAUGUUACUAUCACUUUUUCGGAUGAAGAAAUGACCAAAAUAAAAGUUAUAGAUAUUGAUGAGUUAUACAACUUUGUUGUUGAUGAAUUUUUCAGUUGAAAUC